rnacentral:rRNA from 1 species
CCUACGGGAGGCAGCAGUGGGGAAUAUUGCACAAUGGAGGAAACUCUGAUGCAGCAAUGCCGCGUGUGUGAAGAAGGCCUUAGGGUUGUAAAGCUCUUUUACCCGGGAUGAUAAUGACAGUACCGGGAGAAUAAGCUCCGGCUAACUCCGUGCCAGCAGCCGCGGUAAU